CGGGUGAGUAAUGUAUGGGGAUCUGCCUGAUGGCGGGGGGUAACUACUGGAAACGGUAGCUAAUACCGCAUAAUGUCUACGGACCAAAGCGGGGGACCUCCGGGCCUCGCGCCAUCAGAUGAACCCAUAUGGGAUUAGCUUGUAGGUAAGGUAACGGCUUACCUAGGCGACGAUCCCUAGCUGGUCUGAGAGGAUGAUCAGCCACACUGGGACUGAGACACGGCCCAG
rnacentral:rRNA from 1 species